GUCCUUUUGUAGUUCUUAAGUGUGAUCUGGAUUGUCACGUGAUGGUGUGAGGUGCACCUCUCUCCAAACUUAUGAUGUUGGCACAUGACCUAUCUGAUG